UGGGAAUUUUGGACAAUGGGCGAAAGCCUGAUCCAGCAAUGCCGCGUGUGUGAAGAAGGCCUUCGGGUUGUAAAGCACUUUUGUCCGGAAAGAAAUCCUUGGCUCUAAUACAGUCGGGGGAUGACGGUACCGGAAGAAUAAGCACCGGCUAACUACGUGCCAGCAGCCGCGGUAAUACGUAGGGUGCAAGCGUUAAUCGGAAUUACUGGGCGUAAAGCGUGCGCAGGCGGUUUGCUAAGACCGAUGUGAAAUCCCCGGGCUCAACCUGGGAACUGCAUUGGUGACUGGCAGGCUAGAGUAUGGCAGAGGGGGGUAGAAUUCCACGUGUAGCAGUGAAAUGCGUAGAGAUGUGGAGGAAUACCGAUGGCGAAGGCAGCCCCCUGGGCCAAUACUGACGCUCAUGCACGAAAGCGUGGGGAGCAAACAGGAUUAGAUACCCUGGUAGUCCACGCCCUAAACGAUGUCAACUAGUUGUUGGGGAUUCAUUUCCUUAGUAACGUAGCUAACGCGUGAAGUUGACCGCCUGGGGAGUACGGUCGCAAGAUUAAAACUUAAAUGAAUUGACGGGGUCAUGCUG
rnacentral:rRNA from 1 species